rnacentral:lncRNA from 1 species
CAGUGAUGCUCAAACUUCAGCAGGGGUCACCUCACCUGAAGGGCUUGUGAAAACAUAUUGCUGGGACUCCAUCACCAACAUUCAGAAUUCAGUAGGUCUGGGUGGAGCCCAAAACUUGUACUUCUAACAAGUUCACAGGUGAUGCUGAUGCUGCUGGUCCAGGGGCCACACUUUAAAGACUCAAAGCUCCAUCUGAAGGCCUUGAUGAUGUAAAAAUGAAGUGAGGGAAACAAAGGUGCACUUUCAUUGUCUGGAAAUUUUAAGGAGGAGGAGAGUAUUUAUACACUUUGGGAUCAGGAUGGAGCUGUGCUUUGAUACAAAGGGAUUGAUAAAAUUUCUAGGGAUGUUACAUUUCAAGUCCACUUCUGUGAAAUGUUGAGAACUUAAAAAUAAUUAUUAAACAGUCUCAUUAGCCUUCCUCUCCAGUAUUUAUCAGACUUUUAGUGAAGCAACUGGUAUCUAAACUAUCUUUGAAGCUACUCAGGAGGAGCCGCAAGGCCAACUUCUUGAUUGGCAGGAGUGUUAACACCCAACCACAGGAACCAGUGUUAACACCCAACCAGGAACCAAAGCUUAACUGCCUUGGAAAAAUGUUUUGAAAGGAAAGGUCCAGAGUGAGGGCACUACCCAUCUCAGAGACAGAAAAGUGAACACCAUGACCUCCAGGACAAAAGAGAGUGAGUGGAGCUAUCUAGGAAAGCAAGACUACCUGCAAUUUCAUGGGUGGAUUGUUGGAUUUGACAAGAGUUCUUUUUUGGGAACUUGGGAUGAAACUUUUGUUUGGAGUUAGGAAGGAGCUCAGAGACUGAGAGAAACACAGGGAGGAGAAGGGAGGGAAGGGGGAACCAGGGCCAUUAUGGAAUCCAUACAAACUGGCUUCAUGUACCCUGGCCCCUCUCUGCAUUUCUUGAAGCACCUCUCCUGGGCCAAGGACAUCCUUUGGGAGAAACUAUUUCCUACUUAAACUGAGAUUCACAGACCCAGGCCUCUCAUUAGGAAAUAUCCUCAGAACACUCUUGAAAUAGAUGCUGAUGUAUGUUCUAGUCUCCUGUUUAUUACACCUCUAUCUGGCCCUUUCAUUAUUUUUAGAAAUAAAUAAAUAAAUGUUCUAAAAAGUCUUCUAGGAAUCUCAGGAUAUAGUGGUCAGUCAAUACAGCUCUAUUUUAAUUGCCUCUGUUCUAAAUGUCACUUAUGGCUGCUUGGUACAAUUACAAGCAGACCCUUGUCCCAAGUAAUGAGGGUUGAAACUGUAAAUAUAGAAGUCAGAAAGAGGAGGGCAUACAUGGAUCCUGAUGCUUCCAUAUGGAUGCUCUUAGACUGUAAAGGAACUUAAGGGACACACCCAGGAUACCACCAGAUUAAAUGGGAAAAUUAGUUUCAGCUGACCAUCAGGACGGGCUAUAAGAGCUGGAAGGAAGGGGAGGAAGGUCAGAGAUGGAGAUCAGUCAGGAAUGGAUUAAGAAAGGUUCCUCAAUGUAGUGGAAAGACUGUAGAAUAGAAUUGAGAGGAGGUAUAGGAUCAAGACUGGACAGAAGGAGUAAGGAAGGCCUCCCUGAAACUGUAGACAACUUACCCAAGCCAAAGGCCCAUCCCAGAAAAAGUAUGUCAUCAUGUGAAGAGCUGAAGUGAGGAAGGAGGUGAUGGACCUGAGGGUAGGCGGAGUAUUAAGGUGGAGCUCUGGUAGCUGGAUCAGAGUUUCUGGACUGAAUAGAAACCAUUGAAAUAAUGCAAGAGUAUUGCUCAGAGAAAGGGAAUUUAUGGACAUGGUGUUUGAGGAUGAUCUUUCUCUUGAGGAUGUAUGGUUAUAAGCUGGAUUGGUAGACUCUCUCAGGAUUCCCAAUCAUGGGUUUGCUUUCUCUACUGUAGAGUGGCUUGUUCAUUGUUUGUUUUUCCUGCUUCUAUUGGAGUCAUAAAAUGUGAUUCUUUAAUUCCCAGAUAUUUUGUUCUUUGGAUUGCUUCUCUGGGAUCUUCAUACUGUGUCUGGGGGCCCACUUUCCCUCGUCAUCAGUAAAAGUGGGAAGAGCACAAGGACCACCCUGAACAACAUAGCUGGGGGAAACAGAAAUUAUCAAAAACACUAGCCCUCUCUGACCCUGCCAUUCAGAUGGUCAUCCUUGGGAAUCCUGCUCAGGAUCCAUGAAUGGACUUCAGAAGAAUGAAUGGCAUUUUUUUGAGGUGACCAACCUGAAAGGUGUCUAUGAUUCAACAAAUGUGAAGAACCACU